CUUUAAGAUAAACCAGUCUAUUUAGCCACAUUACUUUUGAUAGACAGGUGCCUUCAAAGGCAAUAUAACAGUGCUAUAGAUUAUUCAAUGCUUUCCUAUGGGGAAAAUAUAACACAUGAGGGCCUCAUGCAGAGCGUGAGGAUGUCCAGCGCCCAGUAACAGACUGAAGGUCCAUUUCGAUUCCGGAAGCGCUCCCAGUGAGCCACUGGGGGCAGACUCAGAGUUGCAAUGU